CCCCACAAUUAGCCGGAGGGGAGGGAGCAGGGUGGGGGUUGAUUUUAUGGUCGCUAGCGAUCUGCUUAGUUAGCUUUCGCUGUUUAGGGGCGAUUGAAGGCCAGAGCACCAAGGACACACGCUGGAUGCAGAAGUCUGGAGGCUCUAGGGGAGAAUUGCAGGCGCCGGAUCGGUGCAGAGAGGCGGCCAGAGAGAGCCAUGCGUGCCACAGCCUCCUGAUCCAACCUUAACAAGGGGGGGGAGCCCAAAAGCAAGCUAGCAAGACGCCGGGCGGUGGAAAGUAUUCCUGUCUGCUUUUGUCUCGAAAGGCAGCGCACUGGAAGAUGGAGAUGGAUGUGAAGGGAGUUUCUCCGUGCCCGGAGCCCAUCCCCCACGCGCAGGGGGCCGGAGGCUGUCAGCAGCAGCAGCAGCGGCAGCAGGAUGAGCAGCCGGGGGAAAGUGCAAGUGCCAGCAGUGCCAGCGAUCACCCGGGGAAGAGGCCAAACAGCGAGAGAGAAGAUAAAAAGGAGCAUGGGACCACACAUUGAACAAUGAGAAGAAAAUCAAAUCUUCAAUUCCUGCGUAUCUGGUGAUCACUCUACCUUUAUGCACUGAAUGAAGAGGCCGUCUUGUGGAAAAAACAGCAUGUGAUCAUGUAAGAUCUAUCUGAUCCUAACAGCCCACAGGCCUAAUGUGGUUAAAUCACACUUAUUUCUUAGUCAAACGACAAAUGAGGGAGUGAUGUAGUCAGCAUUGCAUCUGGCUACAUUUGACUCUGCAGCCUGAAUGACCUAGGUCAACAGGAAGCAGCCUUUGGAACAAAUCCAGACCAGCACUUGAACUCAUGACUUUCAAGCUAUAGAAAGACUUUCAAGCCACAGCUGUAGCAGUUCAUGACUUCCAGCCAUUCCUUCCUCUAAAACUCAUCAUAAUGCAUGCACACAGGAGGCAAAUUAAGGUUUCACCGAGAGCCUCGAUUCUGACUUUCCCAACAUUUUGAAUGGUAGAUUUUGUACUACUUUAGUAAAUACCUUUUUAAAUGUAGGGCUUUAAAAAUAAAUAAAUGAACAUAAUAGAAAUUCAGCAAUGUGGCACCAUGGUGACACCCACAUGGUUCAUCAGCAGUGUGAGGGGAGUGGAUGCUUUGCCAAUGAUUCCAUAGAUGUUUGCUGAUAGCAGAUGAAUGGCAAGAUUUGGGAUCCCCAGAUUUGGAGGACUUCAUGUUUUAGCAUUUUGAGUGUCUGGGAGUGACAAGAUAUAGUGGCAGCCUUAUCUUGAAAUGUCAAGGGGACUGUAUUGAAAUCUUCUGGAUUUCACUGAACAUGAUAUGUGGUGUUGAGAACAAUGAAAUUUCAUCCUGAAGCAGAUUCCAGAAAAGGUUGAGGCACUGUGGCCAUGAUUUGUUUCCCAAUAUAAUGACUAUUGGGUAGGUGUUGUGUUUGGGGUAGAGAUCUACUAUACCAAUAAGUGUAACGACUGUCUUUUCUGUGACAACCCCUACCCCUUAUUUGUAUCUUUAUAGUUAAGGAAGCUGGAUGAAUAGGUAAUGUUAUGUGUAAUAAAUUACUCGGCUGUGUAAUUAUCUGCAAAGGAAACAUUACUGUAACUAUAGUUUUGAGUGAAAUACAAUGUAUAGUAUGUAAAAUAAUUGCACAGUCAAAAGUCAAUGUAAAGAACCAGUGAAUCUUUUGUGGAGAAACAAAAUAAAUAUUUUCC